UUACCUUUUCCGGAGCACAUCCUGAAGAACUCCAGAGUUAAGCGUGCUUGAGCUGGAGUAGUGGAAGGAUGGGUGACCUAUCGGGAAGUGAUUCUCGAUAGCGUGCGAGUGAGGCCAAAGCACGGGAAAAAGUCGGGUGGUGAUUACAGGGUCAGUAAACAAUGAUUUCGAGCCUUGGAAAAAUUAACGGACCGACCGUCGGACAGGAUGAGCCCACGGGCUGAGAGAACGGACGUGGGUGUCCCAUUAGCUGUGGGUGGUCGGGGCGUUAUAAUACUAUGGCAAGUUUUCUUUUUUUUUUUCUUAAAAGGACAAUAGUAGAUAUUUAUCACCGAAUAAAUCGAAAUUCCAAGAUUGAAGACUGGUUAUAUGAAUCAACUAUAUCUAUACUAUAUUAAAAGGGUUAUAUGAGGAGUAGAGAGGCUGUCCACGUCCUCAAUUAAAUCAACCAAUGAGGAGUUUCUGUUUUGCCACGUCAGACACGCUAUCUCCAGAAGCGGGUCUCUGCUUUUUCUCUUCGUCUUCUCCGUUGUCUUUGUUUCCUUCGAUCGCCGUUCUGGUUUACUAACAAUCAAUCCCCUCCCCUGCAAUCAAUCCCCUCACCAUUUCUAUACACUAUUUGAUCUCAUUAAUGGAACCUUUUGGCUUUCCCAAUCUGAGAUUCUAUAUAAAUCUCGCACUCCACCUCUUAUCUUCACCAAAACGUAUUCCCUCCUCAAGAUUAUACUAUACCAAAACCUAUCACGAGUUCACACUUCAUCAGAGUCUCCACGUCAGCCAAUUGCCUUCUUUCUUACUCUCAUGUGCCUCCUCUAGCGAACGAGCGAGGCAAUCUCCAGUCACCGGAGAAGGAAUCCGAGGCGAACGCCGCUAUUUGGAGAAGGAUAAAGGAUAGAGCUCGAUUGAGAGGAUCGUUCUCCGUCUACGGAACUUAGGAUUAGCAGCUUCUGACGACGACGAGGAGGACGAUGCGGAGGAUAGCAACGAGGAGGAUGUGAAGAAGCCAGUGACUGGAGAAGAGAGGUUAGGCGAUUUGCUGAAGAGAGAGUGGGUGAGGCCUGAUGUGAUACUCGCUGAGGGAGAAGAGAGUGAUGAUGAGGAGGACGAUGAUGUGUUGUUGCCGUAGGAGAAGAACGAGGAAGAACAGGUGGCGGAGAGGAAUGAAGGAGAUGGAGGAUUGUCGGCGGUGAAGAAGAGGAGAGCUAGAGCUCCGUCGUUGGCGGAGCUUACAAUUGAGGAUUCUGAGUUAUGGAGGCUGAGGAGAGACGGGAUGUAUCUGAGGGUGAGGAUUAAUAUACCUAAAGCUGGCCUCACGCAGGCGGUGAUGGAGAAGAUUCAUGAUACUUGGAGGAAAGAGGAGCUUGUGAGGCUUAAGUUCCAUGAGGUGCUUGCUCGUGAUAUGAAGACCGGCUCAUGAGAUUGUUGAGCGUCGAACUGGUGGAAUGGUGAUAUGGAGAGCAGGAAGUGUAAUGGUGGUUUACCGUGGACGUGGCUAUCAAGGACCUUCUGCAGUCUUUAAUCAAAUGGCCAGAUCUGAAGAAACACUAUCAAGGACCUUCAGCGGGAAGUGUGCUGGUGUAUUCUUAUGUAACAGUAGAUGAUUUGAUGCGUUUCUUUAGUGUCAUUUCAUGAUAUCUUUAGAUAUGAAGAUAGGUUGGUUGAUGUUCUUGAAAACAUGGCGUUUUAAGGUGUAUUGGUUUGAGUUUUUGCAGCUGAUGAGAGAAGAUGAGGCAACCCUUGGUAAAAUAACUAAGCCUAGGCGUCCCAGGACUGUUGUUCUGUGUCCCACCAGAGAACUCUCUGAGCAGGAUGACCAUAUAUAACACUAGAGAUCAUGAGGCAUAUGCCUGAGCAUCCCAACGUUGUUACCUUGAAGGAGACUUAUGAGGAUGAGCAUGUUGUGCAUUUGGGUAUGGAGCUUUGUGAAGGUGUUGAGUUGUUUGAUAGGAUUGUGGCGAGAGGGCAUUACACUGAGAGAGCUGCUGCUGUUGUCACUAAGACCAUCAUGUCAGUUGUUCAGGUUCGUCACGGUUUUGCUCUUUGUUUAUCUCCAGAUUGGUCUAUAGAUGUUCUAUGUCUUAGUUUAAGCUCGUGUGCUGCUCCUUCUUCCUCUUCCCUUGUCGUAAAAUCCUUCAAAGGUUUCCAUUUGGACCUGUUUUUGAUUGUCCUUAAUGCUAUGCUACACUAGGAUUAGGCCACUUAAUCUCUUUGCUGCAGUCAGAAAAUGGAAAUUGUGGGUUUAUGCCAUGUAUAUACAGAGUUUGGGUGAUGUUCGCAUUUGAUGAUUCUGAUUCUGAUUUGAUUUGUGUUUUAAUUGAUAAAGACAGUUGCUUGCUCUUUUAUGAAUCUGUCCGUAAUUGUCUUAUUUACUAUGCUACACUAGGGCUAGGCUACUAAAUCUCUAUGCUGCACUCACAAAAUGGAAACCGUGGGUUCUUGCCAUGAAUAUUGAGAUUUUGGUGGUGUUUGCUCUAAUUUCAUUUGUAUUAAGCAGUCAUUUUGCAUGUGAUGCAUAAUAGACUUGCUUCUUAGAGGAUUUUUUUUAAAAGUUCUUAGAGGUUUUUUUUUUAAAUUUCACAUACGAGUUCUUGGAGCUUUGUUUUCAAAAGUUAACAUGUGUGUUAUAUGUUUCUACGCCGUUACUUUUCUGAUUUUAUGAUAAAGAAGUUUAAGACAGACUUUUUACAUAAACUUUGGUUAUGAUCUGGUAUCUAUAUCUAUUUAUUUCAAGUGUUUAUGCACCUCCAUGCGGGGAAUCACCAACUGUUCCAAAACAAGCAAACAAAAAUUAACUAUAUGAUUUCCCUACUUAUUUCUACCCAGAACAAAACUCAUAUCUUAAAACAUGAACGGUUGUUAUUGCAAAAAUCAAAUAGAUUUAUUAGUUUGAUGGGAUUUAUUGUUUUCAAAGUCUAGCAUAUCUUAAUAUAGAAUAAAUACUUUAAAAAUACACUAGAUCAAGAUGAGAUGGUCAACAUUUUAAGAAAAACAAGUGAAGAAAGAUGACCGAAAAGAAUAAGAGAAAUUAUUGGGUUCACCCCUUAGGUGAAUCUAUAGGUUCACCAACCAAUGAAAAUUGGUUAUUUUAUAUACAGAUUUUUUCAAAAAAGAAAACAAAAUAUUUAAAAUUAUUUUUUAAAUAAAAGGAUAUAAAAUAAAUAAGAAAGUAUAAUAGCAAUAAAAAUGAUUUUUUAAUAUUGUUAAAGCUGUUCAUACUAAACACUAAACAUGAAACCUUAAACCCUUAGAUAAACACUAAACCCCAACCCCUUGGGUAAAUCCUAAACCCAUGGAUAAACUCAUAAUUGUUGGAAUAUCUCUUUACCCAAGGGUUUAAGAUUUAUCCAAGGGUUUAAGGAUUAAUAUUUAAGGUUUAGAGUUUAGGGUUUAGGGUUUAGUAUGAACAGUUUUAACAACAUUAAAAAUUCUUUUUUUACAGCUGCUACUAUUUUUUAUUUAUUUUUUAUAUUUUACCUAAAGGUUUAGGGUUUAUCCAAAGGUUUAGGGUUUAAGGUUUAGUGUUUAGGAUUUAGCGUAUAGGGUUUAGUAUGAACGUUUAACAAUGUUAAAAAAAAUUUGUUUUUUAUUGCUAUUAAAUAUGCUCAACGCAAAUACACAUAAAAAUGAGAC